CUGCGCUCUCUCCUUAAUCCCUAUGUAUAUUUAGACAAAUGGAGGUCAUUUAGUUGCUCCAAUGGCCAUACAUAAAUAUACAUAGGGAUUAAGGAGAGAGCACAGGU